AUUGAACGCUGGCGGCAGGCCUAACACAUGCAAGUCGAACGAGUGGCGGACGGGUGAGUAAUGUCUGGGAAACUGCCUGAUGGAGGGGGAUAACUACUGGAAACGGUAUCUAAUACCGCAUACCAUCAGAUGUGCCCAGAUGGGAUUAGCUUUUUGGUGGGGUAAAGGCUCACCAAGGCGACGAUCCCUAGCUGGUCUGAGAGGAUGACCGGCCACACUGGAACGGAGACACGGUCCAGACUCCUACGGGAGGCAGCAGUGGGGAAUAUGGCACAAUGGGCGAAAGCCGGCUGCAGCCAUGCCGCGUGUAUGAAGAAGGCCUUCGGGGUGUAAAGUACUUUCAGCGGGGAGGCGUUACCCGCAGAAGAAGAAACGGCUAACUCCGUGCCAGCAGCCGCGGUAAUAC
rnacentral:rRNA from 1 species